AUUGAACGCUGGCGGCAGGCUUAACACAUGCAAGUCGAGCGGAGAGAGGUAGCUUGCUACUGAUCUUAGCGGCGGACGGGUGAGUAAUGCUUAGAAAUCUGCCUAUUAGUGGGGGACAACAUUUCGAAAGGAAUGCUAAUACCGCAUACGUCCUACGGGAGAAAGCAGGGGAUCUUCGGACCUUGCGCUAAUAGAUGAGCCUAAGUCGGAUUAGCUAGUUGGUGGGGUAAAGGCCUACCAAGGCGACGAUCUGUAGCGGGUCUGAGAGGAUGAUCCGCCACACUGGGACUGAGACACGGCCCAGACUCCUACGGGAGGCAGCAGUGGGGAAUAUUGGACAAUGGGCGCAAGCCUGAUCCAGCCAUGCCGCGUGUGUGAAGAAGGCCUUAUGGUUGUAAAGCACUUUAAGCGAGGAGGAGGCUACUUUAGUUAAUACCUAGAGAUAGUGGACGUUACUCGCAGAAUAAGCACCGGCUAACUCUGUGCCAGCAGCCGCGGUAAUACAGAGGGUGCAAGCGUUAACCGGAUUUACUGGGCGUAAAGCGCGCGUAGGCGGCUAAUUAAGUCAAAUGUGAAAUCCCCGAGCUUAACUUGGGAAUUGCAUUCGAUACUGGUUAGCUAGAGUGUGGGAGAGGAUGGUAGAAUUCCAGGUGUAGCGGUGAGAUGCGUAGAGAUCUGGAGGAAUACCGAUGGCGAAGGCAGCCAUCUGGCCUAACACUGACGCUGAGGUGCGAAAGCAUGGGGAGCAAACAGGAUUAGAUACCCUGGUAGUCCAUGCCGUAAACGAUGUCUACUAGCUGUUGGGGCCUUUGAGGCUUUAGUGGCGCAGCUAACGCGAUAAGUAGACCGCCUGGGGAGUACGGUCGCAAGACUAAAACUCAAAUGAAUUGACGGGGGCCCGCACAAGCGGUGGAGCAUGUGGUUUAAUUCGAUGCAACGCGAAGAACCUUACCUGGCCUUGACAUAGUAAGAACUUUCCAGAGAUGGAUUGGUGCCUUCGGGAACUUACAUACAGGUGCUGCAUGGCUGUCGUCAGCUCGUGUCGUGAGAUGUUGGGUUAAGUCCCGCAACGAGCGCAACCCUUUUCCUUAUUUGCCAGCGAGUAAUGUCGGGAACUUUAAGGAUACUGCCAGUGACAAACUGGAGGAAGGCGGGGACGACGUCAAGUCAUCAUGGCCCUUACGGCCAGGGCUACACACGUGCUACAAUGGUCGGUACAAAGGGUUGCUACCUAGCGAUAGGAUGCUAAUCUCAAAAAGCCGAUCGUAGUCCGGAUUGGAGUCUGCAACUCGACUCCAUGAAGUCGGAAUCGCUAGUAAUCGCGGAUCAGAAUGCCGCGGUGAAUACGUUCCCGGGCCU
rnacentral:rRNA from 1 species